rnacentral:rRNA from 1 species
GAUGAACGCUGGCGGCGUGCCUAAUACAUGCAAGUCGAGCGGCAGCGCGGAAAGUUUACUUUCUGGCGGCGAGCGGCGGACGGCUGAGUAACGCGUAGGAACGUACCCCAAAGUGAGGGAUAACUGCUCGAAAGAGUAGCUAAUACCGCAUGUGAUCUAAGGAUUAAAGCUUCGGCGCUUUGGGAGCAGCCUGCGUAAGAUUAGCUUGUUGGUGAGGUAAUGGCUCACCAAGGCGACGAUCUUUAGCUGGUCUGAGAGGAUGAUCAGCCAGACUGGGACUGAGAACGGCCCAGACUCCUACGGGAGGCAGCAGCAGGGAAUAUUGGACAAUGGGCGAAAGCCUGAUCCAGCCAUGCCGCGUGUGUGAAGAAGGUCUUCGGAUUGUAAAGCACUUUAAGUUGGGAGGAAGGUCUGUAAGCUAAUAUCUUGCAGUCUUGACGUUACCAACAGAAUAAGCACCGGCUAACUCUGUGCCAGCCGCCGCCGUAA